rnacentral:lncRNA from 1 species
AUUCUCCUCCAGUCACAAAGCAACUGGUCUGUGAUUGCCCUGGACCCCUCGUUAGGCACCAAGAGCCUGUCCAAUCAACUCCAUCAUUCCACUACAGUGCAUGUGUGUGUGUGUGAUGUCUGAAGACAGACACAAAUUGGCAAUCAGGUAACGCUAUCAUGGAUUGGACUUUCCUCAGAGUGAUCCUGACUCCAAUACCCUGUUCCUUUCCUCUCCUCCAUCUCCUCGUCGCUCCGGAGCGGCUCCAGCUCGACCCUGACAGGUGCUCCUGACAAAACCUAUUACCAUCACAAUUACACAAGCUCUCUCUCUCUCUCUCUCUCAAUGUAUUGCUCACCCUCUCUGUCUCUCAAUCACUAAAGCUUCUCACUUGUCUUAACCCUCAACCCCUGUCUCUCCCUCUCUCUUUCUCACCCCUCCUCUUUUAUCACUAUCUCUAUCCACCUCUAUCAAUCUCUAUUGGUUCCCAUCUCCUAGGCCCAAUUAGAGCAUUAGAGUACAUGGCUCACUUUAAUCUGCAUUAGGGAAGAGAUGAGAGGGCAAUGAGGAGACGAGGAGAGAGGAGAAGGUGAUGAGGAGUGAAAUGGAGGGUUUCUUCUUUCUCCUUACCCCGCUAUAUUUCAGUUUAUUUGUCUCUCUUCCUCCCCACUUCCCUCCCCAUCUUGCAGGUGUGCGAUAGUGAGGUAUUGAGUAGAGAGAGAGCGAGAGAGAGGGACAAAGAGAAUGCGAGAGAGAGAGACAAAGGAAGAAAGAGAGGGAGAGAGUGUGAUUAAUCUCCUCCGUAUGAAACACCCUCUGCCUCACUUGCUCUUCCCAUCUUUUCUGACCCGAAUCUAAUCUGACAGCACUCGUUCUCUCUCCCUCUCCCUUCCUUCCUUCGCUCCUGCUAUUAUAGUAGUCGCGUACUCCCCUCUAUUUUUAGCUGUUUGUCCUUGAGUAAGGCUCGGUGAGCAUGGAUAUGAUCCAUAGAAGACUACACAUAGUCACUCAGGUGAAAAACAACCCUCCCACAGAUAAUAACAAACUGUUAUUCAUUUCAGCUCCUCUUCAUUAUUCAAGCGAAUCCUUUCUUUAACGUGAUGGAGGGAGCAUUAAACGAGUGUAAUGCCGGAAUCCUCUCGCCUCAGAGAGUUAGCAAAUGUAGCCAAUUAGCAUGACUGCCGAGUAUUAGCUCCCUCUUCCAUUUCCAUCCCUCUCUCAUUAACUGUUCUCUCUCUCCCCCUCUCCCCCUCUUUUUCUCUCUCCCUCUCUUUCUCGUUGAAAAGCCUUUCUGUAACAUGGUGACUCAUAUCUGCUCAUCUCUGUGAAAUGGCUUAGUGUUAUCCCAUUUCACUUUUGCUCAAUGGUAGAAUGGGUAAAUACACAAUCAACCCUAUCGCUUAAUCUGUUCUUAUAAACACACACACACACACACACACACACACACACACACACACACACACACACACACACACACACACACAGGCAUCCUACUCCUUCAACUGUAAAGCAGCUUUUGUGGUCUUGGUGAGAGGGCUCCCUGAGUGAGAGUCAGAGUGCUGGUGUUAAUCUAUGGGUGCUGCCAGCCAGGCAAGGCCAUGCUCACUGCCCAGAGAACAUGUGUUUUACUGAGAGAUAAAGAGCAGGAGAGAGAGGGAUGUGGGCAAAUUGAUUGAGAGAGGGGAGAAAGGAGAGGGAGACAGGGAGAGUGGUGGAGAAAAGAGGUUUUGUAGCCAGACACAGACAGACAGGGAGAGUUAAACAGAGAGAAAGACAGAGAAGGACUUGGGGACAAGAAGAGGGAGAAAGAGAAAGGAGGGAAGAUAAAGGGAGAGGAGAGGUAAUUUGGCAUUAUUAGUGUUUUAAGCCUUGGAUGGAAAUAUGCGUGAGGGGAUUAUCAUUGAAUGCCAGCCGCUGUCUUUGACACUUUAUUUCCGUGACACCAGACGUGUGUGCGUGCAUGUGAGUGUGUCAGACGUCCAGAUUGCUGUUUCCUGCUGGAAAAGGUUAAUUACUUCUCCACUGGCCAACUGGACGUGCCAUGCAUAAUUACACAGGCUAAUGAGACCUGCGUGUGUGUGUGUUUGAGAUUGUAAAGAACGUUAGUUUUGAGUUCUGACCUCUACCUAUACACUCCAGUGAAGCUGCUGAUUGGACAGCUGCUGCAGGUGGAGGAGAGACGCACCGCAGCGUGAAGACUAGAAAAGGAUCUGGAUGUAGAAAUUAGAAUGCCGUCACAAUCGUGACCACACCAGAGUCUCUGAGGGAAUGAAGAGGAGGGUGAAGUCCCUCCAGGCUUCCUUCACACCUCAGUCUCCUGAUCCCUCCAGGCUUCCUUCACACCUCAGUCUCCUGAUCCCUCCAUUUCUCCUGCAUCUCAUCCUGUUCCUCCCUUUUCUGCCGUUUCUUCUUCCUCCGUCUCCGGCAGAAGCCGUGCAGACUGCAAAAACAGGCGAAGGUGAACUGGGGCAUGGUCUGACUAAGACAUGU